CUUGGGACCUUGCACUUUUGAGGCAGGUGGCAGAACCACUGAGCUAAAUCCCUGGCCCCAUGGACAAAUAUUUUUGUUUUUGCUUUUUACAGUCCUGUACUGGGGACUGAACCCAAAGAUGCUCUACCACAGAGCUAUAUCUCCAGCCCUUUCUAUUUUUUACUUUGAGACAGGCUCUUGCUAAAUUCCUCAGGCUGGCCUUGAACUGGUCCUAUCUUAGCCUCCUGAGGAGCUGGGAUUACAGGCAUCUGCCCCUGCACCGGCCUCACAGACGAGUUUGCAAAUCUCAGUGCACUUUUCUGGGGAGAGGGCCCUAAAUUUCAUCCCGCUUGUAGAAUGGAAACCCACAACGGCAGAGAUCUGGCCCUGUUUUGUUCAGCAACAAUCCCAAGCAACUAGAACAGCACCGCACCAGGGAGGUGCUCGGGAAAUGCUAUUGAAUGUGUGACGAGGGGACCCAGAAUUGGCUCACAGAACUGCCCUGAUGAAGGACAUGCCAGGACUUUGCUGGGUUCCUCCAGCCUGGGGUUCUGCUCUAACUGGACACUAACAGCUCCCCAGGUGAUUCUAGGUACAGUCCAAUGGUGAUCCAGCAAGCGGCAGAGAUUGAACUUUCGAAGACUCAUCGAACCCCACCUUCUCCCCACGUCCUUGCGCCCGUCUGACCUGGUCCCACGAGGCUCGCCUGGAGAGAAUGGGUAUGAUGCAACCCUGGUGUCGUGAAAUAGCCGGGUAAGAGGAUGCGCUGCUCGUCGGCCUGAUUCACAACACCAGCUGCAGCAAGAUACCAGAACUCCGCUGGCUUCUCCUCUGGGUCGUGGCUCCUCUGGUUUUCAGACAGUGACAAACCCACACAAACAUCUUCCCCAGGGCCAGAGAGGCACCAGGGCCUGGGUCUGCAAACGUGAAAGCUGAGCCUCUGCCCACAUGGGGCUCACAGACUUGAUCACAGGGAAGAGGGAAAGAGAAAGAUGCAAAACCCUGUACAGUGCAAGAGGAUCAGAGCUGCAAUGGAGGACCAGGCCUGGGAAGAGCUGGGAAGCCAGAGGCUGGGCUGCAGCCUUUCUGGCAACCAGGACCAAGAAACUGGGAUUUCUCUUAAGCCUGCAGAGCUUGUGGUGUGUCUAUUGCAGUCCUGCUCCUUCUACCUGGACAUUGUUAAAGCAGUCCGACACUAAAGUAUUUUGAAGCUACUGGCAGCUAAAGCAAGAAGG
ensembl:lncRNA